ensembl:lncRNA
GAAUGACAUCACAAUCUGUUGCCAUGGAAAGGGCCAUAAUAUCAAACAAGUAAGAUGGUCAAAGGUUGCCUUGCAGAAGAGAGAUAGAGAUUUCAUAGGAAAAAUCCAUUAAUACUUAAAUAUAGUGCAGUGGGAAAUAUAUCAUACUAUCUGUACCCAAAUCAGUUACAUAAUUUUAAAGGAAGCACUCAGAUAGUUUGAGCUCUUAUCUCCUGUCAGAAUCCUCUAUUUUCAGAGGCUAAAUAGCAACACUGGAAGAAGAAAAGGAAAAGAGAAAACAGGAACAACACAGACCCAAAAUAACCCUUGCCGUUAGCAUCACAGAGUCCUAAGUCAGGAAAACUACUACUGAGCCUGUUGUCAGUAAGAUAAAAGGCUGGGUGGGUUUGGGAGGUCUUGAAGCAUGAACCAGUGAUGAGGAAUCUGUCCUGCCCUGUUGCAGUUAGAACAGGGAAACCACAGACUGUGGAUGUGCCAGAGCCUCAGAGAAACAAGAAGCAUCCUACUACAGGAAUGGAAGCGAUGACACAAAGGAUUAUGACUACUGGAUAUGAAAAAAGAGCAGAGUGGAAGUUACUCUUUCUACAGAAGUGCUUAAUAAACAUUAAGGUUUGACACACGGCUGACAGAAAAAAAAGCCCUACAUGGAAUGAACUUCUUUAGCACAAUGUUUUCCAUUGCAAUUUUUCUGAAAAUACAAGUUAAUUAAAACACACAUACAAUACCCUACUUUUGACUUCUAAGUAUGAGACAAGGCCAUACUGUAUGCAUACAAACUGUAAGAAAUAAUUUAUAGGACAAAUUCCCCACAAGACCAUUCAGGGAGAGGGAAAAAAAAAAAUCUAAAAGAAAGAGAGAGAAAAAAAGACCUGGCUCUUGACACUAAAGGCUUAACAUCAAAUGCGGCCAGAAAUCCAUUUUCACAGUUUUAUUGCCCAUUCUGGACGCUUCAUUUCAAAGGGAAAGAAUUUGAAUUCAGACACAUAAAAUUCCCUUUGUUCUCUUGCCCUCCAGCCUUUGGUGCCAGUGUGGACGGUCCUAUAGGGAGAGGUUGAGAUCAAAAAAACUUUCAGCUUAGAUACCUGGCCCCAAAUGAUGCCCCUUGGCAUUCUUAAUUAAAUCAGCUUUGCAAUACAUUGACAAUGCACUGUCAAUUAUAAUCAUUUAUAUUAGCAAAUGGAGUAUUUUUACACCUUUGGAAAUAGCAGAAGUUCAGUAGACCUGGGGAAAAAAAAAAAAAGCUAUAAAAUUUUACCGCAUGAUGAUCACAUACAAUGCAGUACAUUGGAUUGUAGGUCACAUAACAUUUUACCUUAACAUUGGGUAAAGCUGAUCUGAUUUCGCAUAUCUUUUCCCAUCUGAAAGGACAUUUCCAGUUAGGUUCAUCUGGGUUGUUUGUUGUUUUUCUGUCAGCUUCAAAACAGAAGUGGAGUGUAGUGUAAGGGGGCAGGAAGGAGGGGACAUUGCAGCUCUGUGGUGGAGGGAACCUUUGUUAUAGAGAAAGGGCCUGAUCCAGAGUCUACUGCACUGGAGGGAGGUAUUUCUAUUGAUCUCAGUAGGCUUUCGACCAGUACCUGCAGAGAUUAUUUUCACUGAGAGUUCUGAGGUACUUUUGAUAUUAAAAUCUGCACAGGAAUAUUUAUGAAAGGAAGGUAUCUCCUUUGGUAGCAAACGACAUCCCGACUUGUACUGAUGAAUAAGGUACUUUCUGCUUUCUACAGUAUUAUUUCUUUAUGUUUUAGCCUCAUGCCUCUUUCUAUUCCAGUUAAUUUGGAAUAGAUACAGAUCAGCUCUCAGGCUUCAGAGUGUAAAUUGAUCACCUGGAGAGGUCAGGAAGGCAUUUUUCCCUCUCCACGUAUAGCACUGCACAAGAGAUUAGAGGUCUGUACAACAAUGCCUAUAUUUCUACUUUCUGUGGAGUUUAUAGCUACUUUUUCCUUUCUUCUUUUUGGAACCCACUGACUCUGAUAUUCAUUUUGCUUCAGUGAGUUAUGCAUGACUUUUUCUUCAAACAUUCAUGUAGGUUGAUUUUGAUUUUCCUGUAUGAAAUAGGGUUCUACCAUCAGAUGUUAGUAUAGGAGAGCAGAUGAUUGCUUCGUAGCAGAUUAUGUUGUUUCGUGGCAAUAGGUGGAUACCUUCUCUCUGUUAGAGUUUAAGGUAUGGGUAAUUCUUAAUUGUGUAUCAGAUUGAUUUGUAAGGAGGCUGUCAGAGUAGCAACUAAAAAGAAGAUUAUUAGUAAACCUGAAACAUAAUCUUUGCUAUGAACUGCAUAUGGAGUCAUCAAACUUGAUUUAAAUUUUAAAGAGCUAGGAAAAAGUUGUCACAACCAUUAAAUACUGAUCAUGUGUUGCAGAUUUAACCCUAAUUAAAACACUUUUUCUAAGCUUUAGAAAUUUAUAUUUCAAACCCGGUUGGGAGUUUCUGACAUUUCUCACAAAUGAACAAUUCUCAAAUUAUUGGGCAUUAAGGAACUCAUAUAAAUCCUAGCAAUUUGUUUGUCCAGAAGUAGGGGGAAAAUUUAAAAAUAAGAAAGAAACUGAAAAAGUAUUGUCAGCUGACCUAAACUGUGUAAGCAUAAGGACCUGAAGUUUGAGAACUGAACUUCAGAAUGAUCUGACGUAGGUUCCUCAAAAAUUAUUUUUGUGAACCAGGAUCAAGAUUAGCCAAACCAGGACCUGUCCACUGAUUAUAAUAUGCACAAAAAUGGUAGCUUCUCAUUUGGUGAGGUCCAUUUUGAAGUGUUCCUUAAAGACACCUUGAAUUGCAGUACAUUAAACCAUCACUGGAAGUGAACUGUGGUAAUGAUUCUAAACACAUCUACUCUUUGAUAGUUUAUGUUACUAUAAUAAUGAGUAGAUGAAAUGUUCAAUUACUAGAGCUUUUAAAUAAAUGCAAAAUAGAUUUCA